rnacentral:rRNA from 1 species
GACGAACGCUGGCGGCGUGCUUAACACAUGCAAGUCGAACGGAAAGGCCCUGCUUUUGUGGGGUGCUCGAGUGGCGAACGGGUGAGUAACACGUGAGUAACCUGCCCUUGACUUUGGGAUAACUUCAGGAAACUGGGGCUAAUACCGGAUCGGAGCUCCUGCUGCAUGGUGGGGGUUGGAAAGUUUCGGCGGUUGGGGAUGGACUCGCGGCUUAUCAGCUUGUUGGUGGGGUAGUGGCUUACCAAGGCUUUGACGGGUAGCCGGCCUGAGAGGGUGACCGGCCACAUUGGGACUGAGUUACGGCCCAGACUCCUACGGGAGGCAGCAGUGGGGAAUAUUGCACAAUGGGCGGAAGCCUGAUGCAGCAACGCCGCGUGCGGGAUGACGGCCUUCGGGUUGUAAACCGCUUUCGCCUGUGACGAAGCGUGAGUGACGGUAAUGGGUAAAGAAGCACCGGCUAACUACGUG